rnacentral:rRNA from 1 species
UGGGGAAUUUUGGACAAUGGGGCGAAAGCCUGAUCCAGCAAUGCCGCGUGUGUGAAGAAGGCCUUCGGGUUGUAAAGCACUUUUGUCCGGAAAGAAAUCCUCUGGGUUAAUACCUCGGGGGGAUGACGGUACCGGAAGAAUAAGCACCGGCUAACUACGUGCCAGCAGCCGCGGUAAUACGUAGGGUGCAAGCGUUAAUCGGAAUUACUGGGCGUAAAGCGUGCGCAGGCGGUUUUGUAAGACGGAUGUGAAAUCCCCGGGCUUAACCUGGGAACUGCAUUCGUGACUGCAAGGCUAGAGUAUGGCAGAGGGGGGUAGAAUUCCACGUGUAGCAGUGAAAUGCGUAGAGAUGUGGAGGAAUACCGAUGGCGAAGGCAGCCCCCUGGGCCAAUACUGACGCUCAUGCACGAAAGCGUGGGGAGCAAACAGGAUUAGAUACCCUGGUAGUCCACGCCCUAAACGAUGUCAACUAGUUGUUGGGGAUUCAUUUCCUUAGUAACGUAGCUAACGCGUGAAGUUGACCGCCUGGGGAGUACGGUCG